CAGUCGCCGCGGUAAUGCGAAGGGGGCUAGCGUUACUCGGAAUUACUGGGCGUAAAGGGUGCGUAGGCGGCUUGACAAGUCUUGUGUGAAAUCUAUGGGCUCAACCCAUAGUCUGCACGGGAAACUGUCGGGCUUGAGAAUGGGAGAGGUGAGUGGAAUUUCCGGUGUGGCGGUGAAAUGCGUAGAUAUCGGAAGGAACACCUGUGGCGAAAGCGGCUCACUGGACAAUAACUGACGCUGAUGCACGAAAGCGUGGGGAGCAAACAGGAUUAGAUACCCGCGUAGUCCCUGUCUCUUAUAC
rnacentral:rRNA from 1 species